rnacentral:rRNA from 1 species
AACGAACGCUGGCGGCAUGCCUAACACAUGCAAGUCGAACGAGACCUUCGGGUCUAGUGGCGCACGGGUGCGUAACGCGUGGGAACCUGCCCUUAGGUUCGGCAUAACUCCCCGAAAGGGGUGCUAAUACCGGAUAAUGUCUUCGGACCAAAGAUUUAUCGCCUUUGGAUGGGCCCGCGUUGGAUUGGCUAGUUGGUAGGGUAAAAGCCUACCAAGGCUACGAUCCAUAGCUGGUCUGAGAGGAUGAUCAGCCACACUGGGACUGAGACACGGCCCAGAAUCCGACGGGAGGCAGCAGUGGGGAAUAUUGGACAAGGGGCGAAAGCCUGACACAGCAAUGCCGCGGGAGUGAUGAAGGCCUUAGGGUUGUAAAGCUCUUUUACCCGGGAUGAUAAUGACAGUACCGGGAGAAUAAGCGCCGGCUAACUCCGUG